rnacentral:rRNA from 1 species
UACGUAGGGUGCGGGCGUUAAUCGGAAUUACUGGGCGUAAAGCGUGCGCAGGCGGUUUUGUAAGCCAGAUGUGAAAUCCCCGGGCUUAACCUGGGAAUGGCAUUUGGGACUGCAAGGCUGGAGUAUGGCAGAGGGGACUAGAAUUCCUGGUGUAGCAGUGAAAUGCGUAGAGAUGCGGCGGAACACCGAUGGCGAAGGCAGCCCCCUGGGCUGAGAUUGACGCUCAGGCACGAAAGCGUGGGGAGCAAACAGG